GACUUUUGAGGCAAACGUGCAACCCUCCUUCUCCCCUUCCACCUCUGGCCGUCAUCCACGGCAACCUGAGUCCCUUUUCAGCAGACAGCUCCUUCGUUUGGUCUCUUAUUCCCUCUCCACCAUCACCAGUGUCUAGGCUCCAUGGGGGGAAUAUGUCUGGCAUCUCUACCCCUUUAAAAUAUUUUUAACAAUGGUGUCCA